CCUACGGGGGGCAGCAGUGGGGAAUAUUGGACAAUGGGGGGAACCCUGAUCCAGCAACGCCGCGUGAGUGAAGAAGGUUUUCGGUUUGUAAAGCUCUAUUGGCAGAGAAGAAAAUGACGGUAUCUGACUAAUAAGCCCCGGCUAACUACGUGCCAGCAGCCGCGGUAAUACGUAGGGGGCAAGCGUUAUCCGGAUUUACUGGGUGUAAAGGGAGCGUAGACGGUGUAGCAAGUCUGAUGGGAAAGGGCGGGGCCGAACCCCGGGACUGCAUUGGAAACUGUUGAACUGGAGUGCAGGAGAGGUAAGCGGAAUUCCUGGUGUAGCGGUGAAAUGCGUAGAUAUUAGGAGGAACACCAGUGGCGAAGGCGGCUUACUGGACUGUAACUGACGUUGAGGCUCGAAAGCGUGGGGAGCAAACAGGAUUAGAUACCCUUGUAGUC
rnacentral:rRNA from 1 species